rnacentral:rRNA from 1 species
GGACGGGCCCCGCACAAGCAGCGGAGCGUGUGGUUUAAUUCGAUGCUACACGAAGAACCUUACCAGGGUUUGACAUACAAGUAGUAGGGAAAGGAAACUGGACCGACCCUUCGGGGAGCUUGUACAGGUGCUGCAUGGUUGUCGUCAGCUCGUGUCGUGAGAUGUUCGGUUAAGUCCGCUAACGAGCGCAACCCUCGCUGUGUGUUACAAGUGUCACACGGAACUGCCGGUCAUAAACCGGAGGAAGGUGGGAUGACGUCAAGUCAGCAUGGCCUUUAUAUCCUGGGCUACACACACGCUACAAUGGGAAGGGACAAUGGGUUGCGAAACCGCGAGGCGGAGCCAAUCCAGCAAAACUUCCCUCAGUUCAGAUUGCAGGCUGCAACUCGCCUGCAUGAAGUUGGAGUUGCUAGUAAACGCAGGUCAGCCAUACUGCGUUGAAUACGUUCCCGGGGCUU